UGGCCAUAUCGCAUUGAAACACCAAUUCUUAUCUGAUCCCUGAAGUUAAGCAACAUUGAGUUUGGUUUGUACCUAGAUGGGUAACUGCUUGGGAAUACCAGGUGCUGUAAG